rnacentral:piRNA from 1 species
UCCACCACAACCAGUGGCACCUGUUUGG